UGAAUACGAGACGCUAAGGCGUCGAAGUAGUGUAUGUCAUACUUCCAAGAAAAGCUUGCACUGUCAUAAGUAAAAAAUGCCUGUACCAUAACCGACACAGGUGGGUAGGUAGAGUAUACUAGGGGCGCGAGAUAACUCUCUCUAAGGAACUCGGCAAAAUAACUCCGUAACUUCGGGAGAAGGAGUACCUUAUUCUAUAAGGUUGCAAUAACAAGAUCCAAGCAACUGUUUAUCAAAAACACAGGUCUCCGCUAAGUCGUAAGACGAUGUAUGGGGGCUGACGCCUGCCCAGUGCCAGAAGGUUAAAGAAGUCGGUUAGCAUUAGCGAAGCUGGUAACUGAAGCCCUGGUGAACGGCGGCCGUAACAAUAACGGUCCUAAGGUAGCGAAAUUCCUUGUCGGGUAAGUUCCGACCCGCACGAAAGGCGUAAUGAUUUGGAUACUGUCUCGGAGAGGGGCUCGGUGAAAUAGACUUGUCUGUGAAGAUGCGGACUACCUGCACCAGGACAGAAAGACCCUAUGAAGCUUUACUGUAACUUGAAAUUGAAAUUGGACUUUAUUCGCGCAGUAUAGGUGGGAGGUGUUGAUUAUAAUCUUGCGGGAUUAUUGGAGCCAUCAGUGAGAUACCACUCUUGUAAUGUUAGAUUUCUAACUUUGAAUCAUUAUCUGGUCAAAGGACAGUUUCAGGCGGGCAGUUUGACUGGGGCGGUCGCCUCCCAAACGGUAACGGAGGCGUACAAAGGUUUCCUCUGAACGGGUAGAAAUCGUAUCUAGAGUGUAAAGGCAUAAGGAAGCUUGACUGUGAGACCUACAAGUCGAACAGGGACGAAAGUCGGUCUUAGUGAUCUGACGGUACUGAGUGGAAAGGCCGUCACUCAACGGAUAAAAGUUACUCUAAGGAUAACAGGCUGAUCUCCCCCAAGAGUUCACAUCGACGGGGAGGUUUGGCACCUCGAUGUCGGCUCAUCGCAUCCUGGGGCGGUAGUACGUCCCAAGGGUUGGGCUGUUCGCCCAUGAAAGCGGUACGCGAGCUGGGUUCAGAACGUCGUGAGACAGUUCGGUCCAUAUCCGGUGUAGGCGUUAGAAUAUUGAGAGGAGCCUUCUUUAGUACGAGAGGACCGAGAAGGACAUACCUCUGGUGUACCAGUUAUCGUGCCAACGGUAAACGCUGGGUAGCUAUAUAUGGAGUGGAUAACCGCUGAAAGCAUCUAAGUGGGAAGCCCACCUCAAGAUAAGUAUUCUCA
rnacentral:rRNA from 1 species